CGGGUCAGCUCAGUACCGGGCG
rnacentral:miRNA from 8 species